rnacentral:tRNA from 1 species
GAGGUUGUGGCUCAAUGGUAAAGCACUCGUUUAGCACGUGUGAGCCCUGGGUUCAAUCCUCAGCACCACA